GUAACAAGGUCUCCGUUGGUGAACCAGCGGAGGGAUCAU
rnacentral:rRNA from 4 species